GCCACUCAGCCUCUAUACAUUGGUGGCUCAAGCCGCUAAUAUGAAGCUGGCUCUACUUGAAUAUGCAGCGGAGACUAAUAGUUUCUAAACAAAUUCAUCUAGCCGCAUAACCAGUGAUGCAAAACUGUUGCUAGACACAAUCUUCUCAAAAUGAGCAUAGUUUACAUUUUUUGUCCGUAACAGUAUGAAAUUUCAUGUUUGACAGAGGCAAAAAGGCUAACGCGGGCUGGAUGAUGACGAGCCACAGCCAGUCGGCUCAGUUGGCAGUUGGCGCUAAAGCCCAUGUAAUGCAAUGUCCUCCAUGGGCCACACCUGCCAUGGUGAAGGCUGUUAUGAUAUAGAAGUGUUAAAAUAAGCAAAUUGCUAAUACAAGAGGACAGAAAUGUGCUAAAAACUGAAUUAACUGGACAGAUAAAUUGUGUAUUUAUUUAUUUAUUUGUUCAUUAUUAUAUUUAAUUAUUUAUUUACUUUGUUAAUGAUUGGGUAUUGAUUUACCAGUUAAUUUGUUCAUUUGUUCAUUUAUUUGGUCAUUUAUUCAUUUAUCAAGUAAAGUUUUAUGUACAUGGAACUUUCUAAAUAUCAUAUCAAUAUAUAAUUUCAUGGUUUGACUAUUUUGAAAUUUGUUGGUGAAUAGUCAAUGGUUUCUAUUGUAAAUCUUUAUAUGUGUUUACACAGAAAAUAUCAAUUUGCUCCAGUGAGACAUGAAAUUUCACUUGCAGAUUUGAAAUAUUUGAAGCUUAACACGAUUGCCUAUUAAUUAUUACACUUGUGAACAUUAGCAUGUUCCCAAUUCAAAUGUGGAAUUCAAAUAAAUUUAUAUGUAGAGGUUCACAUAAAA